AAGGAAGGUUGGUAAUGAUUUUGGGAGUUUUGGUCCCAACAGUUUAGGAAUAAGGGGCCCAAAAGGUCCAAAAUUAAACUUUGUUUGAUUUCAUCAAAAUUGAAUAAUUGGGGUUCUUUGAUAUGCCGAAUCUAACUGUGUAUGUAGAUUUUUAACUUUUGGUCCCGUUUUCAAAUUGGUCUACAUUAAGGUCCAAAGGGUCCAAAAUUAAACUUCGUUUGAUUUUGACAAAAAAUUAAUCGGUUGGGUUCUUUGGUAUGCUGAAUCUAAAAAUGUACUUAGAUUCUUGAUUAUCGGCCCAGUUUUCAAGUUGGUCCAAAUCGGGGUCCAAAAUUAAACUUUGUUUGAUUUCAUCAAAAAUUGAAUAAAUGGGGUUCUUUGAUAUGCCAAAUCUAACUGUGUAUGUAGAUUCCUCAUUUUUGGUCUUGUUUUCAAAUUGGUCUACAUUAAAGUCCAAAGGGUCCAAAAUUAAACUUAGUUUGAUUUUUACAAAAAUUGAAAUCUUGGGGUUCUUUGAUAUGCUGAAUCCAAACAUGUACUUAGAUUUUUGAUUAUGGGCCCAGUUUUCAAGUUGGUCCAAAUCAGGAUCUAAAAUUAUUAUAUUAAGUUUUGUGCAAUAGCAAGUCUUUUCAAUUGCACAGUAUUGCGCAAUGGCAAGAAAUAUCUUAUUGCAAAAUAUUGUGAAAUAGCAAUUUUGUUUUUAAUUAGAGUUAUCUUUCUUUGUCCAGAAUAGUAAGCAAGAAAUAUCUAAUUGCACAAUAUUGUGCAAUAGCAAAAACUUUUUUAAUUGGAGUUAUCUUUCUUUGUCCAGAAUCAACUUAAAUCUUUGUUAUAUAUACAAUAUACAAUGUAUAUUCGCUAUUUACUAAUGUAUUAUAUGUCUCUGUACCAACUGAUAAAUUAAAAUAAUCUUUACCAUUCAGUGAUAACAAGCAGUUUUUUUACAUCUUAAUAUUUUAUGAUGUAUUUAAAUGAGUAGUAAUU
rnacentral:lncRNA from 1 species